UUUCGUUUGGCGUUCAUAGUUGGAACUCAUAUUUGUACUCUGUAGACUAGUACAACAUAUCUAAAUUUAUUUUGAUAUUGUAGUAAUGUGCAUUUUAAUAUUUUUGGAGACUUUGUGUUGAUAUCUCGUUUCAGUUUAACAUGUACAUGUUAGAACCCCUUUGUUGUGUCGCAUGUGUUGUGACAUUAUAUUUUGUUAGAAUACCGUAGGGUAUACCUGAGCUAUAACCACCUGUGGGGGUACCACAGGCAUGUCCUCUUGGCACCGAGGCAUGACACCUUCCGUGGCGGUGUGAUCAG
rnacentral:lncRNA from 1 species